UACAGAGGUCUCAAGCGUUGUUCGGAUUCAUUGGGCGUAAAGGGUGCGUAGGCGGCGGGGCAAGUCUGAUGUGAAAUCCCGGGGCUCAACCCUGGAACUGCACUGGAUACUGCUCUGCUAGAGAUCUGGAGAGGAAACUGGAAUUUACGGUGUAGCAGUGAAAUGCGUAGAUAUCGUAAGGAAGGCCAGUGGCGAAGGCGAGUUUCUGGACAGAUUCUGACGCUGAGGCACGAAGGCCAGGGGAGCAAACGGG
rnacentral:rRNA from 1 species